UUAGUUUUUAUUUUCGUUUAUAUUUAAUGCUCCAUACAUGCGACCAAAGAUUUGAUAUGACGAGAAAUCUUGAAAUUUUUUGUAAACUAAACAAGACCUAAAUAAACAAGGCCUAAAUAAACUUGUCCCUACCGUCUCCCGAGUUACGUAAAGCAGCCUCCUAGUACUAGUCGUCGUCGUCCUGCCGGUCAAUCCAAGGAUUAUAUUAAUAGGCGCGCGUAACCGGAACGAAGCAGAAGUGGGGUGGCACUGGCAUGGGAUUCCGCCGCCGGCCCCGCCCCAGGAUUGGGCGCCGUCCGCCGCUCGCGGGCCGGGCGUCGCGUCGAUCGGAAGUGGGGAACGUGUGUGAUCACCGUGUCGCGGGCAACACUGGACACACGCGUGGUCGGCGCCACCGAACGGCGCGCCCACGAACGACGGGCUCGGCAGGCCGCAUCCGAUCGAGAACGGCGGUGGCGAUCGAGGGCACCUGGGCUGGGCGGCGGCUGGCCUCCUACUUUUGCCGUCCUACUAGUACGGUCUACGGUACCACGCGUACAGGGUAUUGUGCUCAACUUGGACUAGGGACUGUACCCACGUGAUCCACACACAAAGGUCGCCUUCCUCGCUAUAUUUCAACAUCGAUCCUACUGCCGGUUAACCUAUGCACUCAUCUAUGGUCACGAACGUCCGUCCAUUCAGAUAUUUUCAGAAACAAAAUGACAAAAAAAAAA